rnacentral:rRNA from 1 species
UUAGAGGAAGUAAAAGUCGUAACAAGGUCUCCGUUGGUGAACCAGCGGAGGGAUCAUUACCGAGUUUACAACUCCCAAACCCAAUGUGAACGUUACCAAACUGUUGCCUCGGCGGGAUCUCUGCCCCGGGUGCGUCGCAGCCCCGGACCAAGGCGCCCGCCGGAGGACCAACCAAAACUCUUAUUGUAUACCCCCUCGCGGGUUUUUUUAUAAUCUGAGCCUUCUCGGCGCCUCUCGUAGGCGUUUCGAAAAUGAAUCAAAACUUUCAACAACGGAUCUCUUGGUUCUGGCAUCGAUGAAGAACGCAGCGAAAUGCGAUAAGUAAUGUGAAUUGCAGAAUUCAGUGAAUCAUCGAAUCUUUGAACGCACAUUGCGCCCGCCAGUAUUCUGGCGGGCAUGCCUGUCCGAGCGUCAUUUCAACCCUCGAACCCCUCCGGGGGGUCGGCGUUGGGGAUCGGCCCUUCCCUUAGCGGGGUGGCCGUCUCCGAAAUACAGUGGCGGUCUCGCCGCAGCCUCUCCUGCGCAGUAGUUUGCACACUCGCAUCGGGAGCGCGGCGCGUCCACAGCCGUUAAACACCCAACUUCUGAAAUGUUGACCUCGGAUCAGGUAGGAAUACCCGCUGAACUUAAGCAUAUCAAUA